UUUUAGCACAUCAUAUGUUUUAUGCACUAUAAAGUGAUCAAACCAUAAUCUAUUUGUUACAUUGCAUGUAGAGAGAGAGAUGCCUAAAUCUCUUAAGUUUGUGUAUACUAUGAUUUUAUUUAUUUUCCUAUUUCUUAUAACAAAGAAUGUUGAUGCUCUACAUGAUUGUGAAUAUGAUGAUGAUUGCCCAAAAAGUACUUCGAAACGGACCUAUAGGUGCAUUAAUAAAAAAUGUAGGUCCUACUUCACAAGAGUGGAAAAGUAGGUCCUUGUUAAGAAAAAAAAUGGUAAAUGUGGCUUUUUUAAAAUAUCUCAAUGAUAGAAUGAGUUCUAAACCCAAGAGAGUACACUUGGGUCGUGUAAAGAAGAAUAAGCUCUUGCACUACCAAAAAAUAUAUGUAAUAUACCUUUUGCUAGAACAUUCCAUAGAUUUCAUUUAAUUAUUGUGUUGGCACCAAAUAAUUGUAUUUUUUAUUUAUUUUAUUUUUUACAUUCUAAGACCUUACAAUUAUGUAUUUGUAUUCUAAGAUAUUGGUAAUAAAAUGAAACUAUAAUAAGACUCGUCGCACAGACGAGAUUGUUUUA